rnacentral:lncRNA from 1 species
CAUUUAGACAGUUUUCUUUAAUUAACGAUGAAGACACUACAAUUCUAAGUACCAGACAGAAUUGGGAGUAAAAGAAUUGAACACAAGCAUGACACUAUAAAGAAAGCUUGGAAGAGUGAAACACUUCUAAAGGAAAAAAAAUUAUAAACCUGGCCUGGUACCCAUUACAUAUAUACAUCAUACGUUAUCCACAUAUAUACAGUAAAUGUUUUGGUAGCAACAUAGACCAUGCGUCGGUCUUUUGUACACAGAUGAAGUAGCACCGUCGAUAGCACCACCAUCUUCAGAUGAUAAACCAAACUACACACAGCAAAUGUUUGGGGCUGACAUUGUUCACUGGUCUCUCUUCAGUAACUCAGUAAUCCUUGAGGGAAGAGAGCGAGUAGGCUUGCCUUCUUCUUACCUUAGCAAGAAUCUGAGUCAGAAUACUUAAAAAAAAAAAUCACUUCAACAACGAGAGUCUUUUCUCACACAUUUGUAAAAGACCAACUUCCACUUCCUAUUUUCAAAGCCAGUGGGGUUUUCUACUGACAGCAAAUGAUGUCAUUCGGCGAGUUCCUUGAAAACAAUGAGUUCUUAUGACUAGAGACCUAUUUACCUUAGAAAUUGAUGAGCAUGCAAAUGAUUAGGAUCUGCAACACUGAACAUUGUACAUCUGGUUGACUGAACACUAACCCGAGCCUCAGCAGUUGGGGGUCUGUUUAUCUCGUUGAAUAGAGUCAGGGGUCCCCAACCAGUUGUUCAGGGCAACUGGGCACUGCGGUGCCUUCCUUCCAACCCUUGCUCCUUCCUUGU